rnacentral:rRNA from 1 species
GACGAACGCUGGCGGCGUGCUUAACACAUGCAAGUCGAACGGAAAGGCCCUGCUUUUGUGGGGUGCUCGAGUGGCGAACGGGUGAGUAACACGUGAGUAACCUGCCCUUGACUUUGGGAUAACUUCAGGAAACUGGGGCUAAUACCGGAUAUGAUCUCCUGCUGCAUGGUGGGGGUUGGAAAGUUUCGGCGGUUGUGGAUGUACUCGCGGCUUAUCAGCUUGUUGGUGUGGUAGUGGCUUACGAAGGCUUUGACGGGUAGCCGGCCUGAGAGGGUUAACGGCCACAUUGGGACUGAGAGAGGGAGCAGAAGGCUACGGGAGGCAGCAGGGGGGAAUAUUGCACAAUGGGCGGAAGCCUGAGGCAGCAACGCCGCGUGCGGGAUGACGGCCUUCGGGUGGUAAACAGCUUUCGAAGGUGACGAAGAGUGAGUGACGGUAAUGGGUAAAGAAGCACCGGCUAACUACGUG